AAGGAGUCUAACAUAUGCGCAAGUCUUUGGGUGGCAAGCCCUUGGGCGCAAUGAAAGUGAAAUAGGUUUAGUUUUAUUACAAAAACCGGGCCGGGACUAUGGAAUUUAUUCCUUGUUCUGAGUUUACAAUUGAGCGUACAUGUUGGGACCCGAAGGAUGGUGAACUAUGCCUGAAUAGGGCGAAGCCAGAGGAAACUCUGGUGGAGGCUCGUAGCGGUUAUGACGUGCAAAUCUAUCGUUGAAUUUGAGUAUAGGGGCGAAAGACUAAUCGAACCAUUUAGUAGCUGGUUCCCAC
rnacentral:misc_RNA from 1 species